rnacentral:misc_RNA from 1 species
UCCCUGUUACCAGGGCAGUCUAGCUAGAAAAAUUCAACUAACUACAAGGGUUGCGCUCGUUGAUGGACUUAACCAAACAUCUCACGACACGAGCUGACGACGGCCAUGCAACACCUGUCACUUGGCUCAAUAAAGCACUUUCUACUUUCAUAGAAAUUCCAAGGAUGUCAAGCCUGGGUAAGGUUCUUCGCUUACCAUCGAAUUAAACAACACGCUCCACCGCUUGUGCGGGUCCCCGUCAAUUCCUUUAUGUUUUAGUCUUGCGACCGUACUCCACAGGCGGGAUACUUAACGCGUUAGCUUCGCUACUAGAGGGGUCGAUACCUCUAACAGCUAGUAUCCAUAGUUUACGGCGUGGACUAC